UACGUAGGGUGCGAGCGUUAAUCGGAAUUACUGGGCGUAAAGCGUGCGCAGGCGGUUUUGUAAGCCAGAUGUGAAAUCCCCGGGCUUAACCUGGGAAUGGCAUUUGGGACUGCAAGGCUUGAGUGCGGCAGAGGAGACUGGAAUUCCUGGUGUAGCAGUGAAAUGCGUAGAUAUCAGGAGGAACACCGAUGGCGAAGGCAGGUCUCUGGGCUGACACUGACGCUCAUGCACGAAAGCUAGGGGAGCGAACGGG
rnacentral:rRNA from 1 species